rnacentral:lncRNA from 1 species
GGCAUCUGACAUCCCUGUUUGUUUUAGGAGACUGGUGUAAAUCCAUCUAUUGGUAUCCGGUAUCCACCUUUGUUGUGAGAUUGGUAUAAGUCCAUUGAUGGCAUUCGGUAUCACCUUGCUUUUGCUUGCUUGUUUUGUUUCCUAUUCCAAAGGACACACUUGAAUCAUCUUCUAUAUGAUUUCAAGAGGUGAACUUCUAGGAAGUUUUAC